rnacentral:rRNA from 1 species
UAACACGUGGUCAACCUUCCCGAUAUGGGGGAGUAACUAGCCGAAAGGUUAGCUAAUACCGCAUACAAUCUUCGAGUGGCAUCACAUGAAGAUAAAAGGAGCAAUCCGCUUUCGGACGGGACCGCGUCCCAUUAGCUAGAUGGUGGGGUAAUGGCCUACCAUGGCGACGAUGGGUAGCUGGUUUGAGAGAGCGACCAGCCACACUGGGACUGAGAAACGGCCCAG